rnacentral:rRNA from 1 species
UAGCGAAAUUCCUUGUCGGGUAAGUUCCGACCUGCACGAAUGGUGUAACGACUUUCCCACUGUCUCGACCAGUAACUCAGCGAAAUUGUAAUGUCGGUGAAGAUGCCGGCUACCCGUGGAAGGACGGAAAGACCCCGUGAACCUUUACUACAGCUUGAUAUUGACAUUAGAUUCUAUAUGUGCAGGAUAGGUGGGAGACUUUGAAGCGGGCACGCCAGUGUUCGUGGAGUCAUCCUUGAAAUACCACCCUUGUAUUGUUUGAUGUCUAACCGUGAUCCGUUAUCCGGAUUCGGAACAGUGUCUGGUGGGUAGUUUGACUGGGGCGGUCUCCUCCUAAAGAGUAACGGAGGAGCCCAAAGGUUCCCUCAGCACGGUCGGCAAUCGUGCGUAGAGUGCAAAGGCAUAAGGGAGCUUGACUGCGAGUCCGACGGGACGAGCAGGUGCGAAAGCAGGGCUUAGUGAUCCGGUGGUUCCGAGUGGAAGGGCCAUCGCUCAACGGAUAAAAGGUACUCCGGGGAUAACAGGCUUAUCUCCCCCAAGAGCUCAUAUCGACGGGGAGGUUUGGCACCUCGAUGUCGGCUCGUCGCAUCCUGGGGCUGGAGAAGGUCCCAAGGGUUGGGCUGUUCGCCCAUUAAAGCGGCACGCGAGCUGGGUUUAGAACGUCGUGAGACAGUUCGGUCCCUAUCCUCCAUGGGCGUAGGAAAUUUGAAGGGCUCUGUUCUUAGUACGAGAGGACCGGAAUGGACGAAUCUCUAGUGUACCUGUUGUCACAUCAGUGGCAUCGCAGGGUAGCUACAUUCGGACGGGAUAAGCGCUGAAAGCAUAUAAGCGCGAAACCCACCCUAAGAUGAGAUUUCCCUUCCCGCUUUAGCGGGACUAAAGGCUUCCAGUAGAUGACUGGGUUGAUAGGUCACAGGUGUAAGUGCAGUAAUGUAUUUAGCCGAGUGAUACUAAUAAGCCGUGAGGCUUAAUCAA